UCUGCUGCAGGAGACAGGACCACUUCUUGGAGUUCUUUUCAGCUGAGGUCAAUAUAGCACUGGAAGUGGCCUUUCCUGAAAGAAGAAAGGGAAACAAGCAUUUAUUGACCCAUGUCAGGCACUUUGAGAUUUGUUCUCUCCUUUAGUCUUCGCAACAGCAAUAUGAGAUAACUCAAACUACUGGCAGCUCCAUAAAAUGCUAGGAGGCAAAGAUACCACCCCCGGCCCAUCAACACACACCCCUUCAAUGAAGCACUUGAAACAGGAGGAUGCUAGGCAUUAGCUGGACAUCAGCCUGCUCACAGAAGCUCAGGCUCCUGAGAUGGAAAUGAAGGAGUGCAGAAGUCAAAGUCAUUCCUGGUCCAGAAGCAAGUUGAGCAUUCACUGGCAUGGCCACUGGGAAGGACCACUCCAACCCUUGUGAUUCCAGAAGCCUCAUUUUCUUUUUUUUUUUUUUUUUUUUUUUAAGAUAGGAUGUCUGCACUUAUCACUUCUUUUUUUUCAACGUUUAUU